rnacentral:rRNA from 1 species
AGUGAACGCUGGCGGUAGGCCUAACACAUGCAAGUCGAACGGCAGCACAGUAAGAGCUUGCUCUUACGGGUGGCGAGUGGCGGACGGGUGAGGAAUACAUCGGAAUCUACUUUUUCGUGGGGGAUAACGUAGGGAAACUUACGCUAAUACCGCAUACGACCUACGGGUGAAAGUAGGGGAUCUUCGGACCUUGCGCGAUUGAAUGAGCCGAUGUCGGAUUAGCUAGUUGGCGGGGUAAAGGCCCACCAAGGCGACGAUCCGUAGCUGGUCUGAGAGGGUGAUCAGCCACACUGGAACUGAGACACGGUCCAGACUCCUACGGGAGGCAGCAGUGGGGAAUAUUGGACAAUGGGCGCAAGCCUGAUCCAGCCAUACCGCGUGGGUGAAGAAGGCCUUCGGGUUGUAAAGCCCUUUUGUUGGGAAAGAAAAGCAGCAGGUUAAUACCCCGCUGUUCUGACGGUACCCAAAGAAUAAGCACCGGCUAACUUCGUG